rnacentral:rRNA from 1 species
GAUGAACGCUGGCGGCGUGCUUAACACAUGCAAGUCGAACGGAAAGGCCACAGCUUGCUGUGGUACUCGAGUGGCGAACGGGUGAGUAACACGUGGGUGAUCUGCCCUGGACUGUGGGAUAAGUUUGGGAAACUGGGUCUAAUACCGGAUAGGAAUCACAUGUGGGUGGGUGGUUGGAAAGCUUUUGCGGUAUGGGAGUAGGUCGCGGCCUAGCCGCUUGUGUGGGGGGUGAUGGCCUACCAAGGCGUCGACGGGUAUCCGACCUGAGAGGGUGUACGGCCACAGUGGGACUGAGAUACGUCCCAGACUCCUACGGGAGGCAGCAGUGGGGAAUAUUGCACAAUGGGCGCAAGCCUGAUGCAGCGACGCCGCGUGGGGGAUGACGGCCUUCGGGUUGUAAAAUCCUUUCGUCAGGGACGAAGCGAAAGUGACGGUACCUGGAUAAUAAGCACCGGCUAACUACGUG